rnacentral:rRNA from 1 species
UACGUAGGGGGCAAGCGUUAUCCGGAUUUACUGGGUGUAAAGGGAGCGUAGACGGCGAUGCAAGUCUGAAGUGAAAGGCGGGGGCCCAACCCCCGGACUGCUUUGGAAACUGUAUGGCUGGAGUGCAGGAGAGGUAAGUGGAAUUCCUAGUGUAGCGGUGAAAUGCGUAGAUAUUAGGAGGAACACCAGUGGCGAAGGCGGCUUACUGGACUGUAACUGACGCUGAGGCUCGAAAGCGUGGGGAGCAAACAGG